AUGGCUCGCGUUCAUCAUCAAAACGAUGAUGAUGAUUUCAUGGAUCCACCACAGCAGAAUAGGGCAACUGGACGUAGAAAAGAGGGCGAUGAGAAGAAGAAACGUACUCGCAACAGAGCCUCCCAAGAACGACUGACUACAUUGACUGACAGAUUAACUGACGAUCAAAAGGGAGUUGCUGCUGAGAUGGGUAUGCAGGCUCUGAUGAAUGUCCGGUGCACGAAUCUUGUCAAUCCUGUAUGUGACUGGCUUGGUGAGAUUUACGACCCCGCAUCCAGGGAAUUUGUGAUUCCGGGACAUGGAAGACUACCGUUGAACAAGGAAUCCGUGUUCUGCACUUUGGGUGUGCCUCGUGGACAUAUCAAAGUCCCGUACGAGGUCAAUAACGAGAUCGAGGAAGCGCUAUUCCCCCGUUUGUUUCCUGGGUUGGAAUCCAUGCCGAACACGUCUGUACUGGCAGAUUCGCUGCAGGCCAUGACAACCCAUGGAGAUGUUUUUAAGAUGAAGCUACUCAUGUACCUCAUCUCAGUUGUUUUCGCGCCGACCACUUCUCUUCACCCAAGCAACAAAUGCUUCCCCGUCCUGGCAAAACUGAAAGAUGUGAAGAACAUGAAUUGGUGUAAGUUUAUAGCCGACUUCCUGCACGAUGCAUUCUCAAGCAAGAUGUACCAAAAGGGUUGUCGACUGCAUUUAAUGCUCAUGUACGUCGACUGUCUUGAUCUGUCCAUCGUGGAUUUCACUGGGACAGGAGGCCCGCCGCCUACACACAAGUUUGUUGUUUCUGCGUGGACUAUCAAUGCUGUCAAGGUUGUGCUUGCUGCAGACAGGGCGAGGGCACCUGUUGAGCAUCUAAUUGGGCAGUUUGCAUCCGGAAUGACCGGCUUGCUCGGUAAGUUGGUUGAGGGGUGGACGUCCCUCAGUGGCUCUGACAGCGACACGGUUGCGAGGCAGUUCACUUCAUUUGUCCCAGAACGGACACAUUGGCCAACUGGUUGCCGUGGCCGAUAUGACUACAACAGUUCCCAAGAGCUUGCUGACACACAAGAUGAACUAGAUGGAGACGCUAGUCUCAGCAAGGAUGACGAUGAUGACAUGGAGAACGUGAAACAGGACACCGAUGAUGAUGAACAUGCUGAAGUUCGUGCAGGUGCCCCCAUUGCUGGUGACACCCCUUCCACCAGGUCUUCUCCUUGUACGACGACGUCCAACACCGGGGAUCCUAUCGUGUUGCCAGACCUGAGAAAGCCAGUCAAGAAGACGAAGAAGACUACUACACGCGAGGCCAAGCAUAUCGGUAGGGACCCACUCGAACGCCUUCAUUCAAAGUUGUUAACAGGGGGCAACUCAGAUGUUCAUGAGGCGCCAGGCGACAAAACUGCUGCUGCACCACCAAUUGUUCCCACUAACUCUAACGCAAAUGGCCGACCAUCUCCGACGGUUGCAGAUGUGGAGGUUAGAACAACAGGCAUCCGUACAUCGAGGAGUGACGAGUCAGUAUCUGCCAGGACAGCUGAAAUAUUGCCAACUCUUCUGGCAAUGAAGGAUGCUGCUGUGAGCCAUGCCACCCCAUCAGCAAGCGUUGAAGUGGACGCUCCCGAGACCAACCUAAGCAAGGAAGAUUCCCGCUCAUCUGACACUGAUUCCAAGCGCGUGCGUGGUGGUACUCAUGUGCCCACGACAGAAGUGGCUGAGGCGGCAGUUCAUAAUGAUAUGCCAUCUAUAGGUGAGAGUCUUGGCACAACAGCUCCAGCUCCUGUUGGUGCAGAUACUGCUAAGGUGACUGUUUCGCGUGUUGGUCUUCCACCUAGGCGUCGUAGCCCCCGCAAGCAAUCAACAGACAUACCCAAUGCACCAGUUGUAGCUAGGAGCAGUAGAGAGGAGUCUGGUUAUGUUCCUGCGUCCACAUUGUUCCCGCCAGUUGCCAAAAGCAAUGUGAUGGAGAAACCGGAAGACCAGAGCACAACUGAUGCAGGCGCACUUCCAGGCUCCCAGUCAAUUAGGCAUGAGAGGCACCCAAUGGCCUUCACCCCACCGAGCUUCAGCCUCGGCAUCAGUCAAGAUCAAACAGUGGUGCAAGAUCCUAUGCCAGUUGCCUUUGCUUUCCUGGGAGGCAUGCCCGCAAUGAUGGCGCAGCCAAUGGUCGAGGGCAGGAAGGUUGUCAAGUUCGUAGAGCCGAUAGUCCAAGGCACCCCUGAGGAUAUUUCACCGUCACUUGAUGAAGCUUACCGCGGGAUCGAGGAGGCAGCAUUGCAGAGGAGGUCCUCACGAGGUCAGGGGCAAUCAAGUUCCAACGUGCCUGCAGAUACGGUAUCUGAGGAUACCAUUAGGAGUGCCACCCCUGGUUCUGUGAGGCAGCAGAGGGUAGUUCACCCACCUCCCGCGAAAGACUAUGAGCCCGAAUUCAGGGCCACAAAGGAACUGACCCAGCUGUACGAUAUUGUCAAGCGAUUUGGAAAUGUGAGGGCCAGCAACAAGCACAUGAAGGAGCUGAAAGCAACCAAGGUCAUUCAAUGUGAAGUGACGUACGUCGACCUGGGUGAUCUUGCCGAGUCCGUCAUGUUCCCCAUGUUCCAGGAGCUUGCACCACACGACCCACACGACAAGUGUGGUCACCACUAUGCGAUCUGUUUUGACCUGAAGAACCAACGCUUUGAGGUGCUUGAUUCAAUGCAUUCGGCAGCUGAUGCAGACCUUACUUCGCAUGCUGAAUUCUUCAUCAACAACGUCAAAGAUACAUGGAACCGUCACUACGAAAACUCAAAGGUCCAGAUCAGACAUUUCCCGAUUGAGUACGUGGCAACCACGAAUCAAGGGAACACGACGGACUGUGGCUUUCACACGUUGGAAUACUUUGCAAAGUGGGAAGGUAGACUUGUUCCCGCUGUCACAGCUGCAACGGUCGUUGAGCUCCGGAAAAUUUACACAUGGAACUGGUUGACGAAUGAAGAUUUCAACAAGCGGUCCAGAGCAUGCGAGUUCAUGGAGGAAGCUGUCAAGAAAGUCAUCAAGAAGUACAAGUGA
rnacentral:rRNA from 1 species